rnacentral:rRNA from 1 species
AGUGAACGCUGGCGGUAGGCCUAACACAUGCAAGUCGAACGGCAGCACAGUAAGAGCUUGCUCUUACGGGUGGCGAGUGGCGGACGGGUGAGGAAUACAUCGGAAUCUACUUUUUCGUGGGGAUAACGUAGGGAAACUUACGCUAAUACCGCAUACGACCUACGGGUUAAAGCAGGGGAUCUUCCGACCUUGCGCGAUUGAAUUAGCCGAUGUCGGAUUAGCUAGUUGGCGGGGUAAAGGCCCACCAAGGCGACGAGCCGUAGCUGGUCUGAGAGGAUGAUCAGCCACACUGGAACUGAGACACGGUCCAGACUCCUACGGGAGGCAGCAGUGGGGAAUAUUGGACAAUGGGCGCAAGCCUGAUCCAGCCAUACCGCGUGGGUGAAGAAGGCCUUCGGGUUGUAAAGCCCUUUUGUUGGGAAAGAAAAGCAGCAGGUUAAUACCCCGCCGUUCUGACGGUACCCAAAGAAUAAGCACCGGCUAACUUCGUG